UACGUAGGGGGCUAGCGUUGUCCGGAAUCAUUGGGCGUAAAGAGCGUGUAGGCGGCCCGAUAAGUCCGCUGUGAAAGUCCAGGGCUCAACCCUGGGAUGCCGGUGGAUACUGUCGGGCUCGAGUCCGGAAGAGGAGUGUGGAAUUCCGUGGUGUAGCGGUGAAAUGCGCAGAUAUCAGGAGGAACACCAAUGGCGAAGGCAGCACUCUGGGACGUGACUGACGCUGAGACGCGAAAGCGUGGGGAGCAAACAGG
rnacentral:rRNA from 1 species